GUGACGCGGGCUGGUUUCACCUGGCGCGUGCACGUCGGCAGGUCUCCUCACUUCCUGUUCAGACCACGACGCUUCCAACGUGCGCUAUUUCUGAGACACGUUACGACACCCAGUUAUAAUGAAAUGCACUUGAGAUGUGAGACUUUUAGAUUUGAUUCCAGAGGUUUGACAAAAAUGUGACAUAAACCACAAACUAUGAAGAAAUAGUCGUCAUGAAACCACCUGUGGUGGUUCCGAGGGGCUGCAGCAUCUCCAUCUGUGAGCGUCUGUGCGAGGAUGGCAGAUAAAGAACCUGCAGCAUGCACUCUGCUUACCUGGCUCUUGUUUUCAGCCCGGAGUGACUCCACAAGAUCUUUUACACUGAAUGGUUUGCCAACCAGCACCGUAAUCCUCUGACAAAAAUAAAAAAGCUGUGAUGAGCAGAAUGUGGUAGAACAGCAUUUAAGAGUUUGAUUCCACUAGGAGGAUCCCCCACCUUGCCAGUCCGCGGAACGUAGGGCGCUACAUUUGGUAGAACGUCGCUCAGACCUGACACAAAAACAUUCAUUGGUUUUAGUAACUGCUGUGACUCUUGUUCAUAGUCUCCUCCUUCAUUUUCCCUAUGAUCCAUUAAACCAAUAAGCAGACAGUCUACGAUGGUGGUGCAUACUCACCAACAUGCCACAUCGGCAGGAUCACCGGAUUCAGGUGGCACUCUGCUACAAGGCGGCCAACUCCUAAUGCACACAUUGGAAAUGUUCCUUAACAGCAGUUUGCACCGAACAGGGACAAAUCAAGGCACUGAAAAGACUGUUUUACUGACCCCAUUUCAGCCGUAUGAAUUCUUCACUCAUAUUAACUUUGCCUGUUAAAUUAAGAAGCAGAUCUUUCUUAGUCCCACAGUAAUAAGGCAGGAGGUUAAAGAGAUUGUGAGCACAUACCCUCUGGAAAUAUGUGCACCCAUUCUCCUCUAUUCAGUUUCUCCAGAAUGAAAUCCAUUCCUUUCUGGUAGACACCAUCACCUGAGGAACAAUCAGCCGGAUCAACAGGCAGCUAGACCAAGCUGGAGGAACGAUGCUAAAGACACCCACCUCU